rnacentral:lncRNA from 1 species
CUUUCAUAUAGAUUUGUGUGUGUACAAUAUAUAAUAAAGUACAAAUAGGUACAUAAAGGGAGAAAGAAAAAAAUAUUCUGAACUCUUUCACCUUCUGGACACUUUUCCUUGUUUCAAGGGAACGUUAAAAGUAUAUAGUUUUCCAAAAUGAGCAAAAUAGAGGAGGAAAAAACAAACAAACAAACGAACAAACAAAUAUAAGUUUAUCUAUGGUUAAGAUUUCCCCAAAAUAACCAUUUAAAAUACUAUUAAUAAAAGAGGAUGAAUAUAUCUCAAAGUUUUCAAUCACUUCUGCAAGUAAUAUCAUUGUUGGUAUAGGGAUUCAUGAUUCUGAGUGCCUCAUUUAUUUAUGUUUAUAUUUAUAUAUAUAUAUAUAUGUAAUGUCAAUAAAUUCAGGUUUAAAUACAUAAAGCCUGAAAUUCCAAUGUGUAUGUUAACAACCCCCUUCACCAAAUACUAGGAAUAAAGAUUAGUAAUAAACUAGAGAAUUAAUAGCAAGUGCACUUAUUACCAUGGAAACCCAGCUAAAACAAAUACUAGGAGGUUUUGAUUCCCAGAAUUCACACAUGCCAAUACAAUUAUUCUGCAGAGCUGCCCAUAGUGCAAGUGAUCCUAUGCAUGCAGCGUGCCUAUACAACAAUGAUAUUCCUCUCCCUAUGUACGCUGUGAACUCUCUUCUGCUUCUCAAUCUCCGCUGAGGUAAUAUCGACUGGAGUAUUAAUAAUAGCGGUUGUCUAAAUUUGGAGUUAAAGGGCCAGGGUAGAAGACUGGGUGGGAACAGGGCGAUUUCAGUUUGUUUUGUCCUGUUUCUAUGCUCAUAUGUGUAUUUGUCUCAGACUGCCUGAAUGUUGCCAUAGUGACCUUUGAUAAAUCCACGUUAUGGAUGCUGUGAAAUAUAAAGCCAUGCCACAUUUCAGGGAGUGUAAGUUCAUGGAAUGAAGCAGGGGCUGGGAUCUUCAAAGGCACAGCAAAUGCCGCUGCUCAGCUUGGAUGCACUCAGAGAAGGAGCACUUCAUAAACGCUGCACUCAACCACGGCAGAGCUGGGAAAAUCCAACCAGUUCGUCUCCUCCGGGGUGGCUGCUUGCGCUGCAUUACCUGACGUUUUCCCCAACCCAGCUUUGCAUUACUCAAGUGCCAGAGGUUACAUUAAGGAGGUGUGAACAUCAUGAGUCUGGAGGGGAGCCAAAGCUCACGAAGGUCAAGAGAGGAUUAUUUCCACCGACUUCAACUGGACUUUCAAUCUGUUCUGUGUACAGACUGAGACUUUUCCUGCAUACGCUUAAGAAAAUAAGGUGACAUGCCGUGUAAUUAGUGGGACCACCUCAUGGGCUUGCUUGGGAUUCCUCUCUAAUGUCAAGUUUGCUAAAUUCACCUGGGAACAUUCCUGUAGGGAGAAUGCAAAAUGCAUCUUCUAGCAGGUGUCUGUUGUCUUAGAAGAAAAAGUGGCCAGGAGAAGCUCAAUGGCAUGAAGAUGUUCAAAAUAUGAAGACAACAUGCAGAAUUAGGGCUGGAAAAGUAAUACAGCGGUUAGCAAAAGCUGAGAUCAGUUACCUGCUUUGGAGAUGUUUUCAGCCAUCAAGGACAGACAGCUCAGACAGCCAAACCUCUGAGUCACUGCACUUUCAUUUAUGAAUACAGAACCAAAGCAAUCUAGGGGCACUGGAAGGAUAUAGGCACUGAAAUCAGUGAGGCAGUUCAAUGUUGUGAUUGAGAAGGAGUUGCUCCAUUAGCUUGGUAGGUCCUCAUCUCAUUUAACGGCCUUUGCAGAUCUCACCCAACGUGCUGAAAUGCAUCUUCAGCUUUGCCAUCAACCUUCAAAUAAAUUACCAUGGAGAGGUGUUUAGAGACCCCA